rnacentral:rRNA from 1 species
UUUUUGAUUCUUCGAUGUCGGCUCUUCCUAUCAUACUGAAGCAGAAUUCAGUAAGCGUUGGAUUGUUCACCCACUAACAGGGAACGUGAGCUGGGUAUAGACCGUCGUGAGACAGGUCAGUUUUACCCUACUGAAGACUGUAGCUUGUCGUGACAGUAAUUGAAGUCAGUACGAGAGGAACCCUUCAUUCAGAUAAUUGGUUAUGCGGUUGGUCGAAAGGCUAAUGCCGCGAAGCUACCAUCUGCUGGAUAACAGCUGAACGCCUCUAAGUUGGAAUCCAUGCUGGUUGAUGCGACAAUUUAGCCUUCUUUCUUGGGAUAGAAAGUAUCAAUAAAGGAUGUUUCGGCAUACCUGAAAAACUACAACUUUGGGCGGUUGCCUCUGUUCAUGGAAGAAUGGAUGGAGGCACUGUCUUUUGGUUACAAUGAAUCCUGUGAAGGCAGUAUUCGCGAGCAGACGACUCGAUUGAGACGGGGUAUUGUAAGCAUUAGAGUGGCCUUUGUUGCUACGAUGUGCUGAGAUUAAGCCCUUGCUAUUGAAUUGCACCUUUUCCUUCAA